GGACCGGCACCGCGCGUGCGUAGAGCUGUCAGCCGCACCCACGACGCGCUUCCAACAAAGUUGCAAAGCAACCGGCAGACCUGUCAGAACGGUGACGAUCCCGGCGAUGGAAGAAAGGCGAAACUGCUCCGCGUGGGCUGCCCGGAGUGGCAUCGCGCCUUGUUCGAGUCCGAAGAAGUUCCCGCUUCUCUAAACCGGCUGAAGAGAUGCGAGUCUCCUCCUCUUGUCCCAACGGGACUGCGUCCUGACACCGAGUGGACUCCGCCCCGAGAGUGCGAGCGUCCUGAGCGAUCAGGGCAUCCUGAGCCGCGGAAGGCAUCCGGCCACACCCCGCUCUUUACCCGCCAACGCCAGCCCAGGUGGUCAGGCUCAGAAUGGACUGUGAGCCCGUGUGUUAUGGAUCUCUGGUUGUAGAGACAAAAGAACAAAGAUGGAAGCCACCAAGGAUGCUCCCGGCUGAAUGAAUUGUUGCUCUCUGGCUUACACAAAGUCAAGCGAAUGAUCUUCCUAUGUUAUGUAAUAUAUCAACGACCUGCUUACCUUACUCCUUUAAUCUACGUUAUUCUGGAAAGUACCACUUGAAACAAAAGAGUAGAUACAUUCUACUGGAAAUAUGACCCUCAGAGAAGGAAAGAAAGACCGAGGGUUGAACCUGAACACAUGAAAGAGAAUCCAAGGACGCAUCCAGGCCUAUUCUGCCCUUGGACCACAUUGUAUGCUUAGUGUUUCAGAAGAGAGAAAUCAUCAAAGGCGCACCCAAAGAAACAUCUGAAUGAAAGCUCAGUGGCAUUUGCUUUUCCCAAGGACCAGCAUCAUGGUUUCAGAGUUAACACACUGGAGAAAUGCCUAACCCUCCAUGUCACUCCCUACAUCCUCAACACUCACUCAGAGAGGGACAUCGAAGAAAGGAUCACCAGUGAGUCGUACUUCUCAAAGAGAAAGCAGAAGUUUAUUGCUGCUGAAAGUCUAUGAAUAAAUCCAUGCUCCAAAUCACAACCCGAAAAAGCUCCAGAAAGGAUGCACAUGGUCUAAAAAAUGGAGAGACUGGUGUCCCAUGCCCUGUCUUGUUACCCUGAGACAUGAUGUUGGGUAGAGUUGGUCUAGGUACAAUAUCAUUGAAUUUGCAGGUGCCUAAGUGUAGGGGAAUCACAUUGCCAUAUACAGUCAUUAUAGUGUCGGGAGACAAGAAAAUCUCUUUCCGGUGCAUCUGAGAACAUUGGAAAAAUAAUUGCAAUGGCCUGCAGACCUCAGGGACUCUCUGGAGAGAUACAGUGUGACCUCUGAAAACGCUUUAGAUUCUGUCAAAUAUCAAGAUGCAGAUCCAUAUCAGUGAUUACCAAAAAGGCUUGUUCAAAUCAUUGUUCUUGAAGAUAGUCACAGAUAGACACCAAUCAAGAGUCAAAUGCUGUAUCCUCUAACCAUUUAAAGCUUGGAUACAGCCCUGAGUGUAAAGGAAGUACUGUGUACCCCUUUGCCACACGAAGGUCAUAUAUUCAAAUCUCACCCCUCCCAAAGGUGAUGAUAUUAGGGGGUUGGGACUUCCAGGAGUGAACAUAACAUAUUCCCUUAUUAAAAAGGCUCAAGGGAGCUCACUUACCCUUCUGUCAAGUGACAACAGACAGCUGCUGUGAGUAAUUAAGUGUGUUCUAGCCACAGACCCUGCCAGUGCCUUGAUCUUGAAUUUUCUAGUCCGAAGAAGUAUGAGACAUUUCUGUUAUGUAUAAUUUACUCAAUAUAUAGUAGGUGUUCUGUUAGCUUAUUUUAAAAUGCAAUGCCUGUAUUUAUCUUGAAAAUAAAGGACUUUAGGUGUGUGUGUGUGUGUGUGUGUGUGUUUGUGUGUGUGUGUCCACAUACAUAGCAUAGACAAUAUGUAAGAUCUGUGUUCAGUUUUGG